rnacentral:rRNA from 1 species
GUGCCAGCCGCCGCGGUAAUACGUAGGUGGCAAGCGUUGUCCGGAUUUAUUGGGCGUAAAGCGAGCGCAGGCGGUCAAUUAAGUCUGAUGUGAAAGCCCCCGGCUCAACCGGGGAGGGUCAUUGGAAACUGGUUGACUUGAGUGCAGAAGAGGAGAGUGGAAUUCCAUGUGUAGCGGUGAAAUGCGUAGAUAUAUGGAGGAACACCAGUGGCGAAGGCGACUCUCUGGUCUGUAACUGACGCUGAGGAGCGAAAGCGUGGGGAGCGAACAGGAUUAGAAACCCCGGUAGUCC